rfam:Serpula lacrymans var. lacrymans S7.3 unplaced genomic scaffold SERLA73scaffold_33, whole genome shotgun sequence.
ACCUUGGUAGCUUAGUUGGUAAAGCACCAGACCAUGAAAGCUAGAGUCCCAGGUUCAAGCCCUGGCCAAUGCA